AAUAAAAGCAAAAAAAAAAACUAGUUAUUUCUUUCUUUUCUUUUCUUUUUUGUUUUUUUGAGACGGAGUUUCGCUCUUGUUGCCCAGGCUGGAGUGCAAUGGUGCAAUCUCUGCUCACCACAACCUCCGCCUCCUGGGUUCAAGCAAUUCUUGUGCCUCAGCCUCUUGAGUAGCUGGGAUUACAGGCAUGUGCCACCAUGCCUGGCUAAUUUUGUAUUUUUAGUAGAGACAGGGUUUCUCCAUGUUGGUCAGGCUGGUCUCGAACUCCCGAUAUCAGGUGAUCUGCCCUCCUUGCCCUCCCAAAGUGUUGGGAUUACAGGCGUGAGCCACUGUGCCCGGCUAUACUAGUUAUUUCUAAAUACAUUUGAAGUAAAAGUUGUUCUUGAGCAUUACUGGUGCUUUGGAAGUGUUUGUGAAGGGGCUUUGGGAAACAGAAAGCCCUGGCAGAUUCUACAGGGACUGACCUGUUCCUGCUGUCUUACUGUAGAUCUGGAGCAGCAACCAUUUGUUCCCCAGUGCAGAGAAAGCGACUCUUUUCCUCGGCACACUGGAUACCAUUUUCCUCUUCUCCUAUGCUGUGGUAAGUUUUGGAACUCUAGGGCUUAAAGCUAAAGAAAAAUGUAAAUAUAAAUGACCCUGAGCCUUACAAAAUUUGUAAGGGAUUUUGAAUUUGCUGACUGAGGCAGAGUUCAGUAUUUCUGAAGUUUAUAUUGUUUGUUCUUCCCAUUCAUUUAUUCAUUCAUUCGACAGAUAUUUAUUGCUCAUCUAGCAUAUGUCAAUGGGAAUUUAUCCCGAACAACACAAAAUGCCCUGCCUUUAUGGACCUGUAUUCUUGGAGUUAGGGGAGACAGACAGUAACCAAAUGCUACAAAUA
rnacentral:lncRNA from 1 species